rnacentral:rRNA from 1 species
GUUCUUUAAAUAAGGACUUGUAUGAACGGCCCCACGAAGGCUACGCUGUCUCCUUUUCCCCAUCAAUGAACCUGAUCUCCCCGUGAAGAAGCGGGGAUAAACCUAUAAGACGAAAAGACCCUAUGGAGCUUCAGAUUGGAUAUUAUGUGCCUCUAAAUCAGCAUACCUACAUAUCUACCUUCGGUUGGGGCGACCACGGAGAAAAACUUACCCUCCACGACAAACAAGCCAAAACACACAACUUAAAGCACCAACAACUUAACAUUAUUGACCCAAUAACAAUUGAUCAACGAACCAAGUUACCCUAGGGAUAACAGCGCAAUCCAUUUCAAGAGCCCAUAUCAACAAAUGGGUUUACGACCUCGAUGUUGGAUCAGAGCAUCCUAGUGGUGCAACCGCUACUAAAGGUUCGUUUGUUCAACGAUUAAAGCCCUACGUGAUCU